UAUUUUAUAAUUACGAUAUAUUGGUAGGAAGUACCUAAUCCUGGUCAUUUCUAUCGAGCCCAUAAUAAAACCACUGACGUAAGAAUAUUUUUAUUAGGGGCAUUAUAAAAAGGUUGUUCAAUAUCAAUAUCGAUAUCACUUGCUUCUGUUCAUUGUCAUCGAAAGAACAAACACUACACAAACAUGUUGAAAUACACCGUUGUAUUUGCUCUUUUUGUUGCAUCAACUCUUGCCGUCGAGAUCAGUAGACGACCAAUACUUACUAAUGAAGAGGAUCCUAUUUUCAUCGGAAACAAGCCAAUUUUUACCAAUGAAGAAGACACUGUAAUUGAUAUUGGCAACAAACCAAUUUUUACCAAUGAAGAAGACACUGUAAUUGGUAUUGGCAACAAACCAAUUUUUACCAAUGAAGAAGAUCCCCGUAUUGAGAUUAACAACAAACCAAUUUUCACCAACGAGGAGGACCGCGCCAUCGAAAUUGACAACAAGCCAAUAUUUACGAACGAGGAAGACUCUGCGUGUGAAGUAUGCUUCAGCCACCUCAAGACUUUAAUAAGGGCUCUAGAGGAAGUUGCUGUUUAAUUUCCUUUUUUUAAUAUGAAUUAUUCUGAUGUUUAAGCUGGAUAUUAUAGUUACCAAAUAAAGUUGAAAGACCAAACAUU